rnacentral:lncRNA from 10 species
CCUCGCGCCCCGCGCCCACAGGUGCACGCGCCCUUGGCGCCGCCUGCACCCCACGCGCCCCCUCCGCUCCCCGGCCGACGGCCCACCUGGGCUUCGUGAACAGUGGGAGGGAGAGUCUGGGGCCAGGAGAGGGACGGUGCAGGAUCAGGGAAAGAAAGAUCUGCUGAGCAUGCCUGAGCUGAGAAAUGAGGGAAGGCAGACAUAUGUAUGAGCGCCUAUGCAGAGAGGUGUGUCAACUUGACUGGAUUAAUGGAUACCUACAUAACUGGUAAGACAUUCUGUCUGGGUGUGUCACACCAAUCUCUUAG